UCAGUUGUACACUUCAUUCAAAAAUCAACAUGCUUCUCAUUCUCUAGCUUUAUUAUCUGGUACCUGGCACGUGCAACGCAUUUUAAAGUUAUUGUUUAGUGUGUUGCAGUACUUCAACAAUUGUUAGAUAUAAUUAUUUACACUGAACUUGUCAUGAUAUUGUUCACAGAUUCUUUCUGAUUAUGAAUAUUUAUCUCAUCCGCCUGUUUCAAUGGUCCAUUGUCACAGUUCCCAUUGGCAAGACCCUCGUUCAGGACUCUGGAAUUGCCAGGUUAAAUUCCCUCUUUAUGUGUUGGUAUCAUAACCUCAACAUUUUUGAUAACUUUGAGGCAUGAAGGUGUCCUAAACCCUGCUUUUGUCUGGGAAAAGAUGUUCAACAAAGAAAACUGGGCUUGUUCACCUCUGAUGGCUCACUGCCUACCAUUUUCUAUGGGAGGAGAGUUUACAGUAUGUUCCUUCUGUUCUCUUUCAAAAAGCAUAAAGUGCUUGUCUUCUCAUCAAUUGAAUCCUUAAUUUAGGUGCAUUCCUUGUACUUUCUUGAACUUAUUUAUGCCUCCAACCUAUCAGAAGUCUCAUGUUCUUUGUUGGUUACUAAUUAAUAAAGAUUGAUGUAAGAUCUUCCUUAAGAGUUGCAUUCUGAAAGAUUCUGAAUUGUAAGUGGAAACCCACGAGAAAUCUAAGACAAGGGU
rnacentral:lncRNA from 1 species